rnacentral:rRNA from 1 species
CUACGGGCUGCUGCAGUGGGGAAUAUUGCACAAUGGAGGAAACUCUGAUGCAGCGACGCCGCGUGGAGGAUGACACUUUUCGGAGCGUAAACUCCUUUUAUAUAGGAAGAAGAUGACGGUACUAUAUGAAUAAGCGCCGGCUAACUCCGUGCCAGCAGCCGCGGUAAUACGGAGGGCGCAAGCGUUAGUCGGAAUCACUGGGCGUAAAGAGCGUGUAGGCGGAUUAAAAAGUCAGAAGUGAAAUCCUAUAGCUUAACUAUAGAACUGCUUCUGAAACUCUUAAUCUAGAAUAUGGGAGAGGUAGAUGGAAUUUCUGGUGUAGGGGUAAAAUCCGUAGAGAUCAGAAGGAAUACCGAUUGCGAAGGCGAUCUACUAGAACAUUAUUGACGCUGAGACGCGAAAGCGUGGGGAGCAAACAGGAUUAGAUACCCGCGUAGUC